AAAUUAAAAACCGAAUGUAACCGGGAAACCGACGUUAAAUGAUUUAAUAAACAAAAAUGACGUUAAUCCCAUAUAAAACAUAAUAGCAAAUAAUAUGCGAGAUUUGGAUAGAGGGUAAAUAUUAAUGUUCCUACUUAAUUCGCUUAGAGAAGUCGAACUAUACAAAUCAAAAAACAUUUAAUUGGCUAAAGCGCCCAGAUCUUUUAAUCUACCAGCACUUAACGGAUUUAGCUUAUACGGGUUGAUAAGUUGUACUUUUUUUGUCCAGGCCACACUACAUUCUGGAAGAAUAAAUAAUACGUGACGGGGCGAAACGAGUCCUUCCACCGACCGCCAACCCCGACCAGGGGUCAGCCAGAUAGUGGAGGACGAGGAAGGACGGGCCGGGCACGGACCCCACCAUAAAUAUUUUCGAGCGAUGGGACCCGAGACUGGAACUCAAAGUCCUCCAAAGUCGAAAGCCCAAGCGUUUCCAGGAGGGCGAUCCGUCCUAGUAAAUUGUACCGCAUACUGUGUCUGUAUUUUAUUAGACUGACACAACUCGAAUAAUGCGUAUAGGGCGCGUAAUAAAGAGGUUUAUCUCUGGUGUGUAAAUAGUAACUGCCCUAUUUGUCUAUAUAAAUUUAAUUAGUAGUCUAUUUUCAUUGCUGGUACGAAUUUGGCCGAGGGAACUAGGGCAUCUUCUGGUUAAAAAUUCCCGAGGAAACUAUGUAAAAGAUAUCGAUAUAAUAAAAUUCAAGAAAGGUAGUUAAGGCGGAGAGAUUUUCCGCUUCUGGUGCGGAGGGACGUAUUCUAGAAUUUCUAAUAUAAAUAUUUAGCGUCGUAUCGGUCCGAUAUAUCUUUAGCUGGUAUAUUAAUUGUACGCGUUUGAUAUCCAACCACUCCUCUAGCUCUGGUCAUCGUUUCAUUUUAAGUUUGAUAAAACUUUCCGUUAAUUUCGUCUCUUUUUUAAGGAUACGAAAAUAGAGGUUAAUAGCUGUAGAAAAAGACUAGGCGAUUGCCAUAAAAUAAUAUUCGGUCGAAAAUCAGUACCGCGUGUACAGGUGGCGUAUCUAACAGGCGAUAAGAGACCAGAAGGUAUCCGGACGGUAAAAAAGGCCGAGUUGCCAACUUUUCUUGGUAACGACUUAUUUUAUUUCAAUUAAUUGCUCGAUACGCUACUUCGCUAUCAAUGCGUAACUCCGAAUUACCCUUGUAUUUUUCUGGAAAAUUAAUAUCUAUUUAAUAAGAUAGUCAAUCUUUAGAGUUAUUUCCUUCCAGUAGCCUAUUUAAUUCUUAUUGUAUUUUAUAUCGUUUUCUUCUUGUUUUAGACUCGAUAAUAAUAGUUAAUUAAAAAAAAUAAGUAACUAAUAUUAUUCGAUACCAAACCCAGCUCAGUUUAUUCAAAUAGAGAGCCGAUGUUGGCUUCGGUAGAGGAAUUAAUGCAAUUUUAGAUUAUGGCAACUUUCUAUUACCCAUUUGCUUCCUUGCCGCCUGAAUUCGAACGAAAACGACUCUUGACCAGGUUUUUCGAUGCAACAAAACCAUGAAAUCGUUGGCCAAUCGUUUGACCGAACAGACGGCGAGAAAAAAAGCAGAAAAAACAGCGCCCCGGUAUUAAACUUCCAUCAGGAGCCAAUAGAAUCUAUUCCAGAUUUUUGGGGAGGUCCAAGGCGAUUCUUCGACUCAUCCCAUCGGCAGCGCUGUCAGUCCUUAACUUAUUCGGAAACGACCGUCGCCCUAUCCCAUAUAAGCUUUGCCGGCGUGGCUACAUAAAAUACGAAGAUAUCGUAAUAUAUACAGUCGAGAAAAAAUAUGUUCCGAUGGUAAUUUUAAAAUGUUCAGAAGCUCUAGCCACUAUGAAUUUGCCGAGAAACAUUUUUAAGUUUUUCUCGGAAUCAUCAGAAUCUAUUUUCUUGGAAAUAUUAUCAGACCUUUCAUUAUUUAUCAUUGUUUUCGGUGAAUUCAAUUACGUUAUCGAAUCUUAGACGGGAUGUUAUGGCGACGGUCAUUUCCCAACAUAUCGACAACAGACAGCAUCCCCGAGAGGAUCCGAGGAAAGAUUAACUCUAACAGGCCGAGUUCCUAUAUAAUGGUGUUGUUCAAAAUAGUUAACAAUCGAUUCUGUUUAUUUUUCAGCCAAAAUACGCUAACUAAAAUUUCCAAUUAUAUAUUUUAAACAACCGGUUGGAAUCAAUCGGCUGAACGAUAGCGCAAUCCCUUAGAAUGUGGAACAGAUUUUAGUCUCCAGCAGAAAAUUUAAUACAAACCACAUUCGGCCGACUCUAAUUUUUCUGCUGGUUUUCUGGCCAUCGAUUCAGUCAAGAAAUUUCAUCCAUUUUGUUCCAUCCUGGACACUAUCAUUUUCUUUUAAAUAAGUCCUGCCAGGGAAUAAGAAUGUUUUUUGCAUCAUCUAAAUUUGCAACAAGUUUUUUUUUGGCACGCUAAGAUCAAAGUGGACAUUCGAUAUAGCUAUUACGAUACUGACUAAACGGUUGGGUGGACCUCGUCUCCUUUGGUUAUAUCUAUUAGCUUUUAUAAUAAACGAAAAAUUCGUUAAUGUAUCUGCCUG
rnacentral:lncRNA from 1 species